AUUGAACGCUGGCGGCAGGCCUAACACAUGCAAGUCGAGCGGAUGAUGGGAGCUUGCUCCUGGAUUCAGCGGCGGACGGGUGAGUAAUGCCUAGGAAUCUGCCUGGUAGUGGGGGACAACGUUUCGAAAGGAACGCUAAUACCGCAUACGUCCUACGGGAGAAAGCAGGGGACCUUCGGGCCUUGCGCUAUCAGAUGAGCCUAGGUCGGAUUAGCUAGUUGGUGAGGUAAUGGCUAACCAAGGCGACGAUCCGUAACUGGUCUGAGAGGAUGAUCAGUCACACUGGAACUGAGACACGGUCCAGACUCCUACGGGAGGCAGCAGUGGGGAAUAUUGGACAAUGGGCGAAAGCCUGAUCCAGCCGUGCCGCGUGUGUGAAGAAGGUCUUCGGAUUGUAAAGCAUUUUAAGUUGGGAGGAAGGGUUGUAGAUUAAUACUCUGCAAUUUUGACGUUACCGACAGAAUAAGCACCGGCUAACUCUGUGCCAGCCGCCGCCGUAAUAC
rnacentral:rRNA from 1 species